CCUACGGGGGGCAGCAGUGGGGAAUUUUGGACAAUGGGCGCAAGCCUGAUCCAGCUAUUCCGCGUGUGGGAAGACGGCCUUCGGGUUGUAAACCACUUUUGUAGAGAACGAAAAGUCUAUUGAUCAUACCGCUCGACGAUGACGGUACUCUAAGAAUCAGCACCGGCUAACUACGUGCCAGCAGCCGCGGUAAUACGUAGGGUGCGAGCGUUAAUCGGAAUGACUGGGCGUAAAGGGUGUGCAGGCGGUUUUGCAAGAUGGAUGUGAAAGCCCCGGGCUUAACCUGGGAAAGCCAUACAUGACUGCAAGACGAGAGGGCGUCAGAGGGGGGUGGAAUUCCAAGUGUAGCAGUGAAAUGCGUAGAUAUUUGGAAGAACACCGAUGGCGAGGCAGCCCCCUGGGACGCAACUGACGCUCAUACACGAAAGCGUGGGGAGCAAACAGGAUUAGAUACCCUGGUAGUC
rnacentral:rRNA from 1 species